UCUCUCUGUAGCUCAGUUGGUUAGAGCACUGCACCGGAGGGCAGCAGGUUUGAUUCCUGCCAGAGGAC